AUAUGAAUCACUUUGGGAUCUUGUUAUUAAGGCAGAGUCUUUUUCGAUAGGUGUUGGGCAAGCGGGGCAGCUGGGGCACUGAAUUUCUAAUAAGCUACCAUGUGAUUCUGAU
rnacentral:pre_miRNA from 1 species